rnacentral:rRNA from 1 species
GGCGAACGUUAGCGGCGGGCCUAACACAUGCAAGUCGAGCGAGAAAGUGGCUUCGGCCAUCAGUAAAGCGGCGGACGGGUGAGUAACACGUAGGUAAUCUUCCCUUGAGCGGGGGACAACGAGCCGAAAGGCUCGCUAAUACCGCAUAAGUUUCCAGAGACUCUGGUCUUUGGAAGGAAAGCUAGGCCGCAAGGUCCGGCACUCGAGGAGGAGCCUGCGUCGCAUCAGCUAGUUGGGGGGUAAUGGCCUACCAAGGCGAAGACGCGUAGCUGGUCUGAGAGGAUGAUCAGCCACACUGGGACUGAGACACGGCCCAGACUCCUACGGGAGGCAGCAGUGGGGAAUAUUGGACAAUGGGCGCAAGCCUGAUCCAGCCACGCCGCGUGAGUGAUGAAGGCC